rnacentral:rRNA from 1 species
CAAUGGCGUAUAUUAACGUUGUUGCAGUUAAAAAGCUCGUAGUUGGAUUUCUGGAGGGAGCGUCGGCCCGUAUUUACGAGUGCGUGACGUCUCUGUCCAUCCUUGCGGGAAGGCACGGCAUUGAUUUGUUGUGUCGGAUCGCAUCAUUUACUGUGAAAAAAUUAGAGUGUUCAAAGCAGGCUUUCGCUUGAAUACAUUAGCAUGGAAUAAUAAGAUAGGACUUUGGUGCUAUUUUGUUGGUUGAGCCUAAAGUAAUGAUUAAUAGGGAUAGUUGGGGGCACCUGUAUUGCGUUGUCAGAGGUGAAAUUCUUGGAUUUACGCAAGACAAACAGCUGCGAAAGCGUCUGCCAAGGAUGUUUUCAUUA